rnacentral:rRNA from 1 species
AGAACGAACGCUGGCGGCAUGCCUAACACAUGCAAGUCGAACGCUCUUGGGGCUUCGGUCUCAGGGGAGUGGCGCACGGGUGAGUAGCGCGUGGGAACCUGCCCUGUUGUGGGGGAUAACCGAGGGAAACUUCGGCUAAUACCGCAUAAGCCGGUUGUCUUGAAGGAGAUGGCCGGGAAAGAUUUAUCGCGACAGGAGGGGCCCGCGUCGGAUUAGCUAGUUGGUGGGGUAACGGCCCACCAAGGCGGUGAUCCGUAGCUGGUCUGAGAGGAUGAUCAGCCACACUGGGACUGAGACACGGCCCAGACUCCUACGGGAGGCAGCAGUGGGGAAUAUUGGACAAUGGGCGCAAGCCUGAUCCAGCAAUGCCGCGUGAGUGAUGAAGGCCUUAGGGUUGUAAAGCUCUUUCGCCCGCGACGAUGAUGACGGUAGCGGGAGAGAAGCCCGGCUAACUUCGUGCCAGCAGCCGCGGUAA